rnacentral:rRNA from 1 species
UACGUAGGGUGCGAGCGUUUGUCCGGAAUUAUUGGGCGUAAAGAGCUUGUAGGCGGUUUGUCGCGUCUGCUGUGAAAAUCCGGGGCUCAACCCGGACUUGCAGUGGGUACGGGCAGACUAGAGUGUGGUAGGGGAGACUGGAAUUCCUGGUGUAGAGGUGAAAUUCGUAGAUAUCAGGAGGAACACCGGUGGCGAAGGCGGCUUUCUGGACACUAACUGACGCUGAGACGCGAAAGCGUGGGGAGCAAACAGG